rnacentral:hammerhead_ribozyme from 2 species
AUUGGCUGUUACAUGCAGCUAGUGAGCUCCAAAAAGAGUGAAACCACUUAGCUCCUGUAAUUCUGGCUUAUAAGUGU